UCGACUUCCACUACCCAUCGACUGAGAC
rnacentral:piRNA from 1 species